CCCUUAGAUGUUCUGGGCCGCACGCGCGCUACACUGACGAAGUCAGCGAGCAUGUCCUACGCCGACAGGUGCGGGGAAUCUUGUCAAACUUCGUCGUGAUGGGGAUUGAUUAUUGAAAUUCUUGAUCGUCAACGAGGAAUUCCUAGUAAGCGCAAGUCAGCAGCUUGCGUUGAUUACGUCCCUGCCCUUUGUACACACCGCCCGUCGCUACUACCGAUUGAAUGGUUUAGUGAGAUCUUCGGAUUGGCGCCACUGCGGCUCAGCAAUGGGCUCGGUGGAUGCCGAAAAGUUGAUCAAACUUGAUCAUUUAGAGGAAGUAAAAGUCGUAACA
rnacentral:rRNA from 1 species